rnacentral:snRNA from 1 species
AUUGUCGUUGCCAUCUCUCCACCCGGCGGGCGGGGUGACGAGACGAGACGAGACGAGACGAGCGAGGCGAGGCGAGGCGAGGCGAGUAGGGAGACACGAGGAGAAGUAGGUGGGAGUAGAGUGCAGGUGGGGUAGUGAGAUGGUGGAGAGGAGAGGGAGGUGGUGAUGAGUGGCGUGUGAGGAGUAGGGUGCGUGGGCGUAGGAAAGCAGAAGAGACGUGGUGGUGUGAGGCGAUGUGUGGUGAUGGAGACG